AUGAGUAUGCCAUUACAAGCCUAUUACAAGCCUAUUCUACAGGUCCACACAAACAGAUGUUUGGUUCAGUGAAAUACUCUAUUAUGGGUGUAUUCCGUUCCAGACUUAAGCAGAGAUAUUUGGUGAUUUCUAUUCCCUCCCCUCUUCACUUGUUUACUCAUUCGUUGCUUGAAGAACCCUAUCUUACCCUCACCAAAUUCUCACCUCAAAAACACUCAAAUGACAGCCAUUUCUUGCUUCCUUCAACUCCGGUACUCCUCUUCUUCAUCCAACGUCAGCUAAAGAAGUGAUUGAAGGUAGCAACAAGGAGGGGAAACAUAUCGCUCAAGGGUGUGCUAAGUGUGUUAUUUUUUCCUCUUCUUAUUUGGCUUGCUUGAUUGCUUCCUCUACCCACAGUUGAGCUUCUUGUAUCUACCGAACCACUAGUCAUAAAGAAGCUGGUCAAUUCAAACAUCGUAGUUUCCCUUGUUAUUUACUGCCAUCUAUACAAAAGAUCGAGCCGCUGGGAAAGAUGCUCAAACAAUCACUGAUAUUAUUAAAGAAAUAGAUGUUGAGGAUGUAGCUACUACAAAUACUCAUGAAGAAAGAAACGAUUUCAAUGGAUGUGAAGUUGAUAUUUCUUUGGAUGACAUGGAUCUUUCAGCUACACAACCACAACCACCU